rnacentral:misc_RNA from 1 species
GAUGAAGAACGUAGCGAAAUGCGAUAAGUAAUGUGAAUUGCAGAAUUCAGUGAAUCAUCGAAUCUUUGAACGCAUCUUGCGCUCCUCGGUAUUCCGAGGAGCAUGCCUGUUUGAGUGUCAUUUUAACUUCUCAACCAUAUCGAAUUGUUUUUCGAGGUGGCUUGGACAUGGGGGUUUUUGCAGGCUUUAAUAAUGAAGUCGGCUCCUCUGAAAUGCAUUAGUGGUAUCUGAAGCAGAACUGCUACUAUUAGGUGUGAUAAUUAUCUAUGCCUCUUGGUAUACUGCAUGAACAGAUUGCGCUGCUUCCAACUUGUACACCCUUUGGUGUUUGACAAAUUUGACCUCAAAUCAGGUAGGACUACCCGCUGAACUUAAGCAUAUCAAUAAGCGGAGGA